UGAAACUUUUACAAGCUUGCUGUUUGCGAGCAGGAAGAGAGCGACACAAAGUGAGAUUUGUACAGGGAGUUUGCGGCUCUUCUCCUCUCUUCUUCUCCUCUCCUCUCUUCUCCUCUCCUCUCCUCUCGCCUGAAAUGUCACCACUUUGAUUCACGUCUAACAUUUUUGUUCAUGUAUAACUUUCAGCGUUCUUCAAGACUAUAAACGCCAUGCUUUGGAAAGAGGACGUCAUGAGGACAGAAAUCAAAUGAAGUAUAUGUAAGGAUAUAAUUGCUCUAAAGAAAAAAGAAAAAGAGAGAGUCAGUGACAUCACACAAGAAGCUGUCUCGGAUAUUGCCUGAGGAAAGAUACUGAUGAGUGUCCAUGGCACUCGGUGACACACUCACUCUGUCCUCUUUUCAGGACUUGUACACUGGAUUAAGUGCAGUGCUUUUCAUUUCUUGGUGACGACCCACACUAAACAUUAUUUUUGGAGAGGGACCUUUCUUCCUGCCUUUAUUCGUGCUUCAUCCCUUCAUGACACCCUCUGUGACUUCAGGAUAUACUGUGGUAAACAUCCAUGACCACAAGUCUGUCAUGUUGACUGCAAACACUACGGCACUCAAAUUUAAUUACAAACUUGGUGGACACUGUUUUCUUCUCUGCGCUGUCACAGAUCUGAAUAAAAAAAAGCAGGCAGGUGCAGAACAACCAAAGACGUCCUGAAUGACUACCGAAAAUGGGAACUGUGAAGCAUGUAGUACCUGGGAAUGAUGCCAACUGCUGACAAAAGGCUUUACUGCAUGGCUCUGAGAGGAGCAUUAAACUCAUUUGCUCUGAGAUGCUAAAGGAACAUCUGGCACUGAAUUGUUUGGCAAACUGUAGUUAAAUCUAUCAAACCUGUCGGCUUUGUUACAAGACAGCAUCCACCAUGACCUUCUUUGUGGGUGAACAGUAGCCAGACCUACGUAUGCAAAAAAGUCACCUCCAGUUUGACUGACAUGUUCCCACUGUGACCUGCAAAAGCAUCUGUCCUUAAAGCUGAGGUAGUAGAUUGAAUAGUUGUGGGGUUUGUGUCCUCCCUCUGAGAUAACUAUGCAAUCUACUGUCUUUCCUAAGGAGACAGGACUAUCUGCUGUGAUGCCAAAAGUCUGUGUGCCUCUACAAAGCUCCAUGGAUGAAGGGACUCACUGACAAUGGUGGAACUGAUGCCUUCUAUCAACGUGCUUUGCAGUGUUUUUAAGGAUGCUGUGCUUGAAGUUGAGCCUAGCAAGGUGAGGUAGUAGGUUGUAUAGUUUGUGGGAUGGAGUGAAUCCUACUCAGGCGAUAACUAUACAGUCUAUUACCUUCCUUGAGAGGUACAAUGAGUGCUUGGGACUUAACCAUCUCAGCCAACACAGAAGAGCCCCCCAAAUGCCACCUUGUGGCCAAAGCUUAUCAUUACCCUGAAAACCACAGUAAAACCAACUCACAAACAUUUGAAAUCCAUUUAUUCAGGAUUCAGUUUCAAUAAAUCAAAGAUAAUCAAUUUGCAGUGCUAAGCUAACAGUAAAUGUACUCCUCAGCUGUAUAAUCACAAUGUCAGGAUGAUUGUCCUACAUGCAUAUUCACUGCAUCAAAGUAUAAUGAUUUGUUUUAAAUGUAAUAAAAAUAUCACAUGCUGCCACAACACAUUCAAUGUCAACAUUUGAAUUUGUUUCACUGCUCUUUAUACAAUAUCAAUAUGAAAACUAUUUGAAUUGUAAUUCAUUUGGUCCUCGUGCUCCUGUGUAUUAUUGAGUUCCUAUUUUUCUGCUCAGGUGACCAAAGUUUAAAAGUUCAUGUUAUUUCUGAGGUUGUUGUUCUUUGUCGGACUUGAUUAACAUCCUCGAUUUUCUUCUCCACACGCAAAACGCUGUCUUUAGAUCUCCUGAUAAGCUUUUCUUAUCCCAUAUUUUGAACACAUAUACCGCUCCAUUUACAGCCGAGUAAGCAGGAUGCCAACAUGAAAAAGCUGACUCGGGGACUUCACUCGGCUCACUAAAGUAAACGAUGCAGUUCAUUAUGUGGAGUGGGAACCAGGAGAGUGCAAACGACGUCGAUACUAGAGAAAGAGAUGCCGCCAACUGUUUCUUUCCUUAUGGGUAGUUUAGAGAUCGUUUCUGAAAAAUUGUUGCCAGGUUUCUCUCUGAUGUUGGGAUGGUGCAGAGUAAACCAAGUACGAUAUGGGGAUCACAGCUAUAAACCUGCAGUAUAUCUUGGAGUUGACUGGAAUAGGCAAUGUUUUGUGCUUGUAGCCCAACAUGCAACAUGGGAGCAAAGCUGUGCAUAACAUGCAACAAAUGGCUUUGCAUCAUUGAAUGUUAAAAGGAAGCCAGCGUUGCCAUUUUUGUUUUUAUAUCAGUUGAUAAAGAAUUAUUGUGCUAAAAGAUUUAAGAUUGAUUUUGGCAACUGUUGAAGAAACCUUUAGCUGCAUGUUUUAAACUUAUUUGUGCAACUAUUUUGUGAUUUAAGUCAUCGGAUAUCUAAUUUAAGCUUCUUAAAUGUGACCAUUUUUGGUUUCAUUGCUCCUCUAUGACAAUUAACUGAAUUUAUGUAGACAAAAUUGGGAAAAACAGUUUUCUGACUUGUUAUGGCCUAAACCAACAAUCAACACAUUAGUGGAUGCAGAUCAGUAAUGUGUGCUGUAUCUCACUUUGUACAAACAUUAUGUAAAAAUAUUGUAUAUUAAACUUUUGUUAUAAAGCUA